GUAUAUGAGGUGAUUAAUUGGAGGGCAAAUCGAGUGCCAGCAGCCGCGGUAAUACUUGUUCCAAGAGUGUGUAUGAUGAUUGAUGCAGUUAAAAAGUCCGUAGUUUAUUAUUAAGAAGCAAUAUGAGGUGUACUGUAUAGUUGGGAGAGAGAUGAAUUGUGACGACCCUGACUGGAAGAACUGAAGCGAAAGCUGUACACUUGUAUGUAUUUUUUGAACAAGGACGUAAGCUGGAGGAUCGAAGAUGAUUAGAUACCAUUGUAGUUCCAGCAGUAAACUAUGCCGACGAUGUGAUAUGAGAUGUUGUAUUACAUUAUAGAAAUUAGAGUUUUUUGGCUCUGGGGAUAGUAUGAUCGCAAGAUUGAAAAUUAAAGAAAUUGACGGAAGAAUACCACAAGGAGUGGAUUGUGCGGCUUAAUUUGACUCAACGCGAGGUAACUUACCAAUAUUUUAUUGUUCGGCGAGGAUAUGAUCUGAGG
rnacentral:rRNA from 1 species